CAGUCGCCACGGGAAUACGAAGGGUGCAAGCGUUAAUCGGAAUUACUGGGCGUAAAGCGUGCGUAGGCGGUUUGUUAAGUCUGUUGUGAAAUCCCCGGGCUCAACCUGGGAAUGGCAAUGGAUACUGGCAAGCUAGAGUGUGUCAGAGGAUGGUGGAAUUCCCGGUGUAGCGGUGAAAUGCGUAGAGAUCGGGAGGAACAUCAGUGGCGAAGGCGGCCAUCUGGGACAACACUGACGCUGAGGCACGAAAGCGUGGGGAGCAAACAGGAUUAGAUACCCCAGUAGUCCCUGUCUCUUAUAC
rnacentral:rRNA from 1 species